rnacentral:rRNA from 1 species
GAUGAACGCUGGCGGCGUGCCUAAUACAUGCAAGUCGAGCGAACGGACGAGAAGCUUGCUUCUCUGAUGUUAGCGGCGGACGGGUGAGUAACACGUGGAUACCCUACCUAUAAGACUGGGAUAACUUCGGGAAACCGGAGCUAAUACCGGAUAAUAUUUUGAACCGCAUGGUUCAAAAGUGAAAGACGGUCUUGCUGUCACUUAUCGAUGGAUCCGCGCUGCAUUAGCUAGUUGGUAAGGUAACGGCUUACCAAGGCAACGAUGCAUAGCCGACCUGAGAGGGGGAUCGGCCACACGGGAACUUAGACACGGUCCAGACUCCUACGGGAGGCAGCAGUAUGGAAUCGUCCGCAAUGGGCGAAAGCCUGACGGAGCAACGCCGCGUGAGUGAUGAAGGUCUUCGGAUCGUAAAACUCUGUUAUUAGGUAAGAACAUAUGUGUAAGUAACUGUGCACAUCUUGACGGUACCUAAUCAGAAAGCCACGGCUAACUACGUG